rnacentral:lncRNA from 10 species
GCGUGAGCCACUGCACCCAGCCAAGGCCCAACAAUUUGAAAGCUCCUGGAGAAUUUGACAGAUAUAAGGAGGCCAGUGUGGCUGGAGCCUGGUGGAUGAGCAGAAGAGUGUGGGUGAGGACUGAGCAAAGAAGGCAGGGUCAAACCAUAAAUCAUGCUAGGGGCUGGGUUAUUACCCAACACAUAAUUGGAAGCUUUUGGAGGAAUAGCAAUGUGAUUAAGUAAAAUUUUUGUUUGUUUCUUUUGAGACAGGGUCUUGCUCCGUCACCCAGGCUGGAGUGCAGUGGCGCGAUCAUGGCUCACUGCAGUCUCGACCUCCUGGGCUCAAGCAAUCCUCCCACCUUGCCCUCCCAAAGUGCUGGGAUUAUAGGUGUGAGCCACUGUGCCUGGCCUAGCAAAUGUUUUUAAAAUAUCACUCAGACUGCCAUCUGAAAAGGGGCUGCUGGGAUGGCAAGAAUGAAAGCAGGAAGAGAGGACUCCAGGAGGGUGGGUUCCCUGAAGCCUAGAGAAGAAAGGGCUUCCAGAAGGAUGGAGUGGUCAACUUGCCAAAUCCCACAGAGAGGUAAGGUAAGGACAGAGAAUGGACCAUUGGCUUUGGCAAGAUAUAGGUAGGUCACUGAUGACCUCAGUAGGAGCUGUUUAGUAGAGGGAUGCCAUGGAAAGCCUCGUAAGAGUGGACUGAGGAUGUGAAUAAAUCAACUACAGUCAACUCUUUUGAGAUGGAGUCCAGUUUCAUGCCUAGACUGAAAUUCAAGAUUCAUAAUGAAGAAUUCACUUUUAUCAAGCAUUGACAGGAGUUAGACACAUCUCAAACCAUAUUUUAAAAUACAGCCAGAUUACAAUGUUACCUGAUUCUGAGACUGCCUGUAACUUGAUUCAUAAUAGUGACAGACAGCACUUGGACUAGGACACUAGAGCUGCUGAGAAGGAAAAUUGCACCCAGCUUCUUUGCUUCCUGCAAAGAUGCACCAGGAUCAGAGAAGAAAAGACCAAGUUCUAUAAUUACCUGGCAGGGGAGAUACCAUGAACACAAAGAUGGUUUUCCCAGGGUGAGUCUCAUCCAUUGCCCUCCGGAUGUGCUGACCCCUGCGAUUUCCCCAAAUGUGGGAAAGUCGACUGCAUAAUUUGUGUUAAUGGGGGACUGUGUCCACGCUUUCCGCCGGAAAAAAAAAAGAAGAAAAGAAAAAAAAAAAGAAAAGACAAGACAAGACCAAGUUCUGAGAGUGCUUGAAGAAGCGGUACUAGGAGAAGACUGCACUGCCCUAAAACCUUUGACCAGAGAUUCUGGGAAGGCUUGGACAGUGACAGGCAUGCUGGACCCUGCAGCUGUUGACAAGGGAGAAAUCUUAAUUAUAUUGGGUGAAAUUCUCCUAUAGAGAAAAGAAGAUAAAACUAUAUGUUUUUGACCAGAAAUGCCCAAGAGAGCUCUGCUACCCUCAAGAAUCUAUUCUUCCUGAAAAUGUGAAGAUAAUGGCUUAGAUCUGGAAACCAAAGAUAGUCUCAGAUGUGGCUGUGAAUUUUAGUGGGUGGGCAAUGUGGGGUGGAGUGGGGAUAGAGGGCUGUUGUGGAAAAGGCAGCCCAGCCUGCUCAGAGGUGUGUAUAUAGACCCACAUUGCUGGCAAGCAACUCAUCUCACUACCACACAAUGUUUUUUUGUUUUUUGUUUUUGUUUUUUUUAAGACAGAGUCCACUCUGUUGCCCAGGUUGGAGUGCAGUGGCAUGAUCUCAGCUCAAUGCAACCUCUGCCUCCUGGCUUCAAGCAAUUCUCAUGCCUGAGCCACCUGAGUAGCUGGGAUUAUAGGUGUGGAGCACCACACCUGGCUAAUUUAUUUUUUUUGUAUUUUUAGUAGAGAUGGGGUUUCACCAUGUUGGCCAGGCUGGUCUUGAACUCCUGACCUCAAGUAAUCCGCCCACCUCAGCCUCCCAAAGUGCUGGGAUUACAGGCGUGAGCCACUGUGGCCAGACACAAACAAUGUUUUUUUUGUUUUUGUUUUUGUUUUUCUUUGAAACAGGGUCUCACUGUUGCUCAGACUGGAGUACAGUGGUGCAAACAUGGCUCCCUAUAGCCUGAACCUCCUGCACUCAAGUGCUUCACCUGCCUCAGCCUCCUGUGUAGCUGGGAACACAGAUAUACGCCACCAUGCCUGGCUAGCUUUUGAUUUUUUUGUAGAGAUGAGUUUUCACUUCAUUGCCCAGUCUAGUCUUGAACUUUUGGGCUCAAGCAAUCCUCCCACUUUGGUCUCCCAAAGUGCUGAGAUUACAGGUGGGAGCCAUUGUGCCCAGCCUUUCUGCAGCUGGAAAAAGAAGACCAAUGAGCUGUAGAGGGAGAAAUUCCACAAGGCAUAAAAAUAUACCAGGCUUAUAUCAUCCAGGGCUGCAGAUGAGCCACAGUUGAGGAACCAGGCCAUGGAACACAGUGAGGGAAUU